AUUGAACGCUGGCGGCAGGCCUAACACAUGCUAGUCGAACGGUAACAGGAAGAAGCUUGCUUCUUUGCUGACGAGUGGCGGACGGGUGAGUAAUGUCUGGGAAACUGCCUGAUGGAGGGGGAUAACUACUGGAAACGGUAGCUAAUACCGCAUAACGUCGCAAGACCAAAGAGGGGGACCUUCGGGCCUCUUGCCAUCGGAUGUGCCCAGAUGGGAUUAGCUAGUAGGUGGGGUAACGGCUCACCUAGGCGACGAUCCCUAGCUGGUCUGAGAGGAUGACCAGCCACACUGGAACUGAGACACGGUCCAGACUCCUACGAGAGGCAGCAGUGGGGAAUAUUGCACAAUGGGCGCAAGCAUGAUGCAGCCAUGCCGCGUGUAUGAAGAAGGCCUUCGGGUUGUAAAGUACUUUCAGCGGGGAGGAAGGGAGUAAAGUUAAUACCUUUGCUCAUUGACGUUACCCGCAGAAGAAGCACCGGCUAACUCCGUG
rnacentral:rRNA from 1 species